rnacentral:rRNA from 1 species
GACGAGUGGCGGACGGGUGAGUAAUGUCUGGGAAACUGCCCGAUGGAGGGGGAUAACUACUGGAAACGGUAGCUAAUACCGCAUAACGUCGCAAGACCAAAGAGGGGGACCUUAGGGCCUCUUGCCAUCGGAUGUGCCCAGAUGGGAUUAGCUUGUAGGUGAGGUAACGGCUCACCUAGGCGACGAUCCCUAGCUGGUCUGAGAGGAUGACCAGCCACACUGGAACUGAGACACGGUCCAGACUCCUACGGGAGGCAGCAGUGGGGAAUAUUGCACAAUGGGCGCAAGCCUGAUGCAGCCAUGCCGCGUGUAUGAAGAAGGCCUUCGGGUUGUAAAGUACUUUCAGCGGGGAGGAAGGGAGUGAGGUUAAUAACCUYAUUCAUUGACGUUACCCGCAGAAGAAGCACCGGCUAACUCCGUGCCAGCAGCCGCGGUAAUACGGAGGGUGCAAGCGUUAAUCGGAAUUACUGGGCGUAAAGCGCACGCAGGCGGUCUGUCAAGUCGGAUGUGAAAUCCCCGGGCUCAACCUGGGAACUGCAUUCGAAACUGGCAGGCUGGAGUCUUGUAGAGGGGGGUAGAAUUCCAGGUGUAGCGGUGAAAUGCGUAGAGAUCUGGAGGA